rnacentral:rRNA from 1 species
CCUACGGGUGGCUGCAGUGGGGAAUAUUGCACAAUGGGGGAAACCCUGAUGCAGCGACGCCGCGUGAGUGAAGAAGUAUUUCGGUAUGUAAAGCUCUAUCAGCAGGGAAGAAAAUGACGGUACCUGAUUAAGAAGCCCCGGCUAACUACGUGCCAGCAGCCGCGGUAAUACGUAGGGGGAAAGCGUUAAACGGAUUAACUGGGGGGAAAGGGAGCGUAGACGGCAGCACAAGUUUGGAGUGAAAGGCCGGGGCUUAACCCCGGAACUGCUUUGGAAACUGGGCAGUUAGAGUGCAGGAGGGGUAAGUGGAAUUCCUAGUGUAGCGGUGAAAUGCGUAGAUAUUAGGAGGAACACCAGUGGCGAAGGCGGCUUACUGGACUGUAACUGACGUUGAGGCUCGAAAGCGUGGGGAGCAAACAGGAUUAGAUACCCCUGUAGUC